rnacentral:rRNA from 1 species
UACAGGGGGGGCAAGCGUUGUUCGGAGUUACUGGGCGUAAAGGGCGCGUAGGCGGCCAACUAAGUCACACGUGAAAUCCCCAGGCUUAACCUGGGAACUGCGUGUGAUACUGGAUGGCUUGAAUUCGGGAGAGGGAUGCGGAAUUCCAGGUGUAGCGGUGAAAUGCGUAGAUAUCUGGAGGAACACCGGUGGCGAAGGCGGCAUCCUGGACCGACAUUGACGCUGAUGCGCGAAAGCCAGGGGAGCAAACGGG